GACGAACGCUGGCGGCGUGCUUAACACAUGCAAGUCGAACGGACAGGCCCUGCUUUUGCGGGGUGCUCGAGUGGCGAACGGGUGAGUAACACGUGUGUAUCCUGCCCUUGACUUUGGGAUAACUCCAGGAAACUGGGGCUAAUACCGGAUAGGAGCUCCUGCUGCAUGGUGUGGGUUGGAAAGUUUCGGCGGUUGGGGAUGGGCUCGAGGCUUAUGGGCUUGUUGGUGGGGUAGUGGCUUACCAAGGUUUUGACGGGUAGCCGGCCUGGGAGGGGGACCGGCCACAUUAGGACUGAGAUAGGGCGCAGACUCCUACGUGCGGCAGCAGUGGGGAAUAUUACACAAUGGGCGGAAGCCUGAUGCAGCAACGCCGCGAGCGUGAUGACGGCCUUCGGGUUAUGAACCGCUUUGGCCUGUGACGAAGCGUGAGUGACGGUAAUGGGUAAAGAAGCACCGGCUAACUACGUG
rnacentral:rRNA from 1 species